rnacentral:rRNA from 1 species
UACGAAGGGGGCUAGCGUUGCUCGGAAUUACUGGGCGUAAAGCGCGCGUAGGCGGUCAUUUAAGUUCGGGGUGAAAGGUUCAGCGCUCAACGCGAACAGUGCCUUGAAUACUGGGUGACUUGAGUUCGGGAGAGGGCAGUGGAAUUCCUGGUGUAUCGGUGAAAUGCGUAGAUAUCAGGAGGAACACCGAUGGCGAAGGCAGCUGCCUGGCCUAGAACUGACGCUGAGGUGCGAAAGCGUGGGGAGCGAACAGG